CAAAAAUGCAGAUAGCUCAAGAUGCACAGAACACUUGGAGGAUGCUCUAGCCAAAAGUUAAAUAGUUCUUAGUGACUCAGUCUCAAUAAGAAACCAGUCACAGCUCUUUAUAGAACAGAGCUAUAAGCUUCUAGAGCAUUUAAAUAAUGGAACUUUACAUUUGAAUAUUAUAAAGUGCACAUACAAUUGAACAAGCUGGAAAAAAAUCAAGCGAGGGCAGGGAUAUAGGAGGUGAAUUUAUGAAGGCUAGGAGGGGUUGGGUAUAACAUUAUUCUCUUCAAAAUAAGGGUCAUUCCCAGUGGCGUACAUGUUUCCGCCCCUUGCAUUGGGUAAGACCUAUGAAGGCCCAGCACUGGUGUGUCAUUCCAGACAUGUGGAAACUAUAAUGUUGGGCACGCAUUGGCCUUUCCCAUAAAGAAUCUAAGUACAGGUCUUUCUGGAAGCCUUCAUAGUCUGUGCUUGAAAAUGGUUACUCUUUCCUAGUUACCCUUGUGAUACAACUAUUGACCCUGUUUAAAGAAACAGUUGAAGGUCUUCUCCAAACAUAACAGAGUGUCUCGCACGUGGCUGCUGAACUGACAUUCUAACCACCCCAUCCCCCCAAAAAAGCCUCUAAAGCAAUCCCCUUACCUUUUAUAUAAAAAGCUGUGUUCCAGACUGACGCCUUGUAAUUUUAGAAUGUCCAUUUCUAGUUCAUGAGAGAGAGAAAAAGAAAAUAGAAUAACUCCCUAGUUUGACACAUGUUUAUCAAAAACAAAACUGUCAGAACUUUAAAAUAGAUGCAGAAUGCAGUCGCUUUCCCUUCCUGGACCAAUUUACUUCAUCUAAAUGCAGACCAUCCCUAAGGCCAGAGGUUAAUAUCUUCACAUGUUUAUCACCCACAUACACAAGAGAGAACCCCCAACAGUCCAGAGCAGCAGGGCAGUCGGUCAUACACUCAAACCUACUAUCUCUUUCUAAAUAUUUUCAAAGCAACGUUUGACUUAAAAUAAUUUGUAUUUCUCUGGUAACUUUCAGAAGUCACUUUCCUAGUGUACAGAAAAGCUUUUCACCUGAUUUCCAAUUAAGUCAGACUUUGGAAAAAAUCAUAGAUGUUUUGUAUGCUACUCCACUGCAUUCGAAAACACAUGCUAGCCCAUGCGUCAGUGUAACUUGCUAUUGAAAUACCUGCUUCCAAAAUGUCCUGAUUCUGAAAAGAAAUGCCUGAGUAUUUCCAGGUCAGUGAGAUCAGACGGAAGCGCACACACUAAGACUGUAUCUGGGCUCUCCAUUGCCUCUCUUGGGUAACGUUCCCUUGCUGGAUUUCUGCUGCACUCUCUGAAGGACUUCUCCUGCUCUCAGUAGAGAGCCUCUGUACAUUGUAUGCUCUGAUUUUUUGUUGGUUGGAGAGCAACAGCAAAACUCUACAAGAUGUUGCGAACACAGAUACAUGGGCCAAGGGAUCUCAGUGUGUGCUGAACGUGUGUUCUCAGAUGCAAGAAAGGAAGGUUAGGGAGGAGGAGACAUGCUGUUUUUUUAAUUACUGUAGGGUAAACCUGACAAUUCAGAACUUUGUGAAUUGUCAGCUUGUUUGGGGGGGUGGGGGGCUGGGGGGGUGGGUCUGGGGUGUACUUUUUAUAAGUAAUAUUUAAUUUAUUAUUUAGAGUGGCUUCUUUUUUGGAUAAUUUAUGAUACAAAGGGAGACCUGGUUGGGAAUCUAGAUAUGGCUGUUAAAGCUGCAGUGUUCCAUAGCUUAGAGGCACCACUUUGGACAUGAAUUGUCCACUGCUGAGUAUGAGGGUAUGCCCAGGCAAAGCCCCCACUGAAUUUCCAUCAUCACCGCCUUCUCCCUUGCCAGGGUCAUUCAAACUUGAGUACCACCAAACCUACAAUAUUCCGAUGGCAUUUUUCAGAUCAAAUGCUACUCAUUCUCUCCAAGGGCUUUGCGAUUCAAAUUGUUAGUGUGUUAGUGGUAGGUUUAUUUGGUAGAAGUGGGUAUACUACAGCUUUAACUAGCCUUAGUGGAAAAAAGAAAGUUUUUGUUGCUACAAAAUGCCUUUUAAUUUCAAAAAAAGAAAAAAAAAGGUAUUUUGAGCCCACAAAGAGUUUCUUUAAAUUGUCAGACUCUAGCAUUGUUAACCAAAUUAGACUAGUGAUCGCAAUAUUUAAGUGUAAAUCUUGUUCUAUGAGAAAGGAAACUUGCUUACAGUUUAAAACAAUGACUGUUUCUACACAAAUCUUGUAUACUACUACACGAGGAAAAAGGGGUUUUGUAAUCACUGUAGAACAGUCUCAUAUUCAUUUUUUAUAGAAAUGUUAUUCCAAUGGUGCAUUUUUUUGUUUAAUAAAUAAAGUUUUGAUACAAAGUUC
ensembl:lncRNA